AUUGAACGCUGGCGGCAGGCUUAACACAUGCAAGUCGAGCGAGCGGCGGACGGGUGAGUAAUGUCUGGGAAACUGCCUGAUGGAGGGGGAUAACUACUGGAAACGGUAGCUAAUACCGCAUACCAUCAGAUGUGCCCAGAUGGGAUUAGCUAGUAGGUGGGGUAAUGGCUCACCUAGGCGACGAUCCCUAGCUGGUCUGAGCGGAUGACCGUCUAACCUGGAAAUGAGACACGAUCCAGACUUCUAGGAGAUGCAGCAGUGGGGAAUAUUGCACAAUGGGCGCAAGCCUGAUGCAGCCACGCCGCGUGUGUGAAGAAGGCAUUCGGGUUGUAAAGCACUUUCAGCGAGGAGGCGUUACUCGCAGAAGAAGCACCGGCUAACUCCGUGCCAGCAGCCGCGGUAAUUC
rnacentral:rRNA from 1 species